AAUGCAUAGGAAUCUGCCCGAUAGUGGGGGAUAACCUGGGGAAACCCAGGCUAAUACCGCAUACGUCCUACGGGAGAAAGGGGGCUCCGGCUCCCGCUAUGGGAUGAGCCUAUGUCGGAUUAGCUAGUUGGUGAGGUAACGGCUCACCAAGGCCACGAUCCGUAGCUGGUCUGAGAGGAUGAUCAGCCACAUCGGGACUGAGACACGGCCCGAACUCCUACGGGAGGCAGCAGUGGGGAAUAUUGGACAAUGGGGGAAACCCUGAUCCAGCCAUGCCGCGUGUGUGAAGAAGGCCCUCGGGUUGUAAAGCACUUUCAGCGAGGAAGAACGCCUAGCGGUUAAUACCCGCUAGGAAAGACAUCACUCGCAGAAGAAGCACCGGCUAACUCCGUGCCAGCAGCCGCGGUAAUACGGAGGGUGCAAGCGUUAAUCGGAAUUACUGGGCGUAAAGCGCGCGUAGGUGGCUUGAUAAGCCGGUUGUGAAAGCCCCGGGCUCAACCUGGGAACGGCAUCCGGAACUGUCAAGCUAGAGUGCAGGAGAGGAAGGUAGAAUUCCCGGUGUAGCGGUGACAUGCGUAGAGAUCGGGGAGGAAUACCAGUGGCGAAGGCGGCCUUCUGGACUGACACUGACACUGAGGUGCGAAAGCGUGGGGUAGCAAACAGGAUUAGAUACGCCUGGGUA
rnacentral:rRNA from 1 species